rnacentral:rRNA from 1 species
UGGAGGAGAAUUUGGACAUCCUGGGGGGAAGAAAGUACCUGAAGAAUAAGCACCGGCUAACUACGUGCCAGCAGCCGCGGUAAUACGUAGGGUGCAAGCGUUAAUCGGAAUUACUGGGCGUAAAGCGUGCGCAGGCGGUUAUGUAAGACAGAGGUGAAAUCCCCGGGCUCAACCUGGGAACUGCCUUUGUGACUGCAUAGCUUGAGUGCGGCAGAGGGGGAUGGAAUUCCGCGUGUAGCAGUGAAAUGCGUAGAUAUGCGGAGGAACACCGAUGGCGAAGGCAAUCCCCUGGGCCUGCACUGACGCUCAUGCACGAAAGCGUGGGGAGCAAACAGGAUUAGAUACCCUGGUAGUCCACGCCCUAAACAUGUCAACUGGUUGUUGGGAAGGUUCCUUCUCAUUAACGUAGCUAAC